rnacentral:rRNA from 1 species
UACGGAGGAUCCGAGCGUUAUCCGGAUUUAUUGGGUUUAAAGGGUGCGCAGGCGGAAGAUUAAGUCGGUGGUGAAAUUUUGCAGCUCAACUGUAAAAGUGCCUUCGAAACUGGUUUCCUUGAGUGUAGAUGAAGUAGGCGGAAUUUGUGGUGUAGGGUGAAAUGCAUAGAUAUCACGAGGAACUCCGAUUGCGCAGGCAGCUUACUAAACUACUACUGACGCUCAGGCACGAAGGCGUGGGGAUCAAACAGGAUUAGAUACCCGCGUA